GACGAACGCUGGCGGCGUGCUUAACACAUGCAAGUCGAACGGAAAGGCCCUGCGUUUGUGGGGUGCUCGAGUGGCGAACGGGGGAGUAACACGUGAGUAACCUGCCCUUGACUUUGGGAUAACUUCAGGAAACUGGGGCUAAUACCGGAUAGGAGCUCCUGCUGCAUGGUGGGGGUUGGAAAGUUUCGGCGGUUGGGGAUGGACUCGCGGCUUAUCAGCUUGUUGGUGGGGUAGUGGCUUACCAAGGCUUUGACGGGUAGCCGGCCUGAGAGGGUGACCGGCCACAUUGGGCCUGCGAUACGGCCCAGACUCGUACGUGAGGCAGCAGUGGGGAAUCUUACACAAUGGGCGGAAGCCUGAUGCAGCAACGCCGCGUGCGGGAUGACGGCCUUCGGGUUGUAAACCGAUUUCGCCUGUGACGAAGAGUGAGUGACGGUAAUGGGUAAAGAAGCACCGGCUAACUACGUG
rnacentral:rRNA from 1 species